rnacentral:antisense_RNA from 1 species
GACAAUGGUGGGUUGAAUGGAGGCUUCUUAGGAAGCGCCGGUAAUGUUAACUGCUGGUACGCCAACUCUGUUCAACUCACCACCCGC